UGAUGGGGCUGCCAUAAGGAUGAAGUAAUAUGGUGCAAGAGGAGCUGAGACUGCUGCUUGGCAAACAGUGGACAUUUGCUGAGAGCUUGCUGUGCACCAGGCACUGUUCUAACUACUUUACAUGUAUUAAUUCAUUGAACUCGCUCAACAACUUGGAGGUUGGACAUCAUUAUCCCUACUGCAGGCAGUGACCACUCUACAAAUGUUGGUUGCCAUCCGCUGAUCUUGACGCCUACGACGGAUUCGCCUGGUAACUCCAUCCACACUUAAGUUGGGAAAGCACUCCGCCCUGCCUCUAAGUCCGGGGACUCUGGGCAGGGUCCAUUACAUGACCUGGGUCUAAGCCAAUCAGAGCAUCUCACUACCGUCUCCACAGUGAUUGGUCCACGUGGGCACAUGACACUGCCGGGGCUGGGACUCCCCAAAAAGAGAGUCUCCCUUCUUCCUGCUGGACUAGCCUGAGACGAUGCGAGGCUAUCGCUGCCGCAGUACCGGGCGGAGGGCCUGUCUGAGAGGGAGCCAACCUCGAGGAAACUGGGUCAACAAUGGACAACGAGACACCAGCUGUGUGACUUCACGUGAGCCCACGCAGGAAGCCUGCCUGCAGCCGGGACCCUAUCUUGGCCCAUAGCAUCGGGGCUUCUCAGGGAAGCACUGGGGUGUAAGCUUCAGCCCCAAAAUGCAUCCCCACCCUUGUCCCCCUCCAGGCAGAGCAGAGACCACUGGGGCCUGCUUGCUGCUCGGUGGAGCCGAUGUCUUCAAGGCCGGGCUAAUGUCUCACCGGCCUCUCGGUUCCUUCCAGCUCCACUGACAGAAAGAAAGCAGAUUAGAUUACCGGGCGAGGGUACGACGUUUUACUAUCCACCCAAAUUAUGUUCACCAAUGAUUGAACUCUUCAAAGAAUUCAAAUCAUGUGGAUUUGAGCCUUCUGGGAAGGAAAACGAAAUGCACCUUGACUUCACAGGCUGGAGGGCUGGGUGUGACAGGGCCCUCCAGAGAGCCUCGGGACAGAACCUCAGCAGAUGGUGGCAGCUGAAGACACAGGAAUCUCAUCAAAUAACCAGGAAAGAUUAACUACUGGAGAAGAGAAAAGACUGGGAAUCAUCACCAUGCCAGACAGACUUUUCACCUAUUCGUCUGAGGACAGCUCCAAGAGAUGACCUGGGAGACUUUACCUGCAUAAGAAGACAACCUUUGUUCACAGCGUAGUUCUGCCCCUCACCCUCCUGCCACCUGCCCC
rnacentral:lncRNA from 10 species